GACGAACGCUGGCGGCGUGCUUAACACAUGCAAGUCGAACGGUGAAGGGAGCAGCUUGCUGGUUUUGGAUUAGUGGCGAACGGGUGAGUAACACGUGAGUAACCUGCCUCCUUCUUCUGGAUAACCGCAUGAAAGUGUGGCUAAUACGGGAUAUUCUUUUUCUGUCGCAUGUCGGGCCCUGGAAAGAGAUUUCUUCGUUGGUUGUUGGUCUCUCGGCAGAUCAUCAUGUUGGUGGGGUGAUGGCAUACCAAGGCGGUGACGCGUAGCCGGCCUGGGAGGGGGGACGGUUACAACGGGAACGCGACACGGACCAGAAUGGUACGGGACGGAGCAGUGGGGACUAUUGCACAAGGGGCGCAAGCCUGAUGCAGCGACGCCGCGUGAGGGAGGGAGGCCUUCGGGUUGUAAACCUAUUUCGCAAGUGAAGAAGGCCUGCUACUUGUGGGUGGGUUGACGGUAGCUGGAUAAGAAGCGACGGCUAACUACGUG
rnacentral:rRNA from 1 species